CCCUGAGUGAUGCAAAUUGUUAAUGCACUCAGCUGCUAACUUAAAGGUUGGUGGUUUGAAUCCGCCCACAGGCA
rnacentral:tRNA from 1 species